rnacentral:rRNA from 2 species
UAUCACGGGAGACACACGGCGGGUGCUAACGUCCGUCGUGAAGAGGGAAACAACCCAGACCGCCAGCUAAGGUCCCAAAGUCAUGGUUAAGUGGGAAACGAUGUGGGAAGGCCCAGACAGCCAGGAUGUUGGCUUAGAAGCAGCCAUCAUUUAAAGAAAGCGUAAUAGCUCACUGGUCGAGUCGGCCUGCGCGGAAGAUGUAACGGGGCUAAACCAUGCACCGAAGCUGCGGCAGCGACACUGUGUGUUGUUGGGUAGGGGAGCGUUCUGUAAGCCUGUGAAGGUGUGUCGUGAGGCAUGCUGGAGGUAUCAGAAGUGCGAAUGCUGACAUAAGUAACGAUAAAGCGGGUGAAAAGCCCGCUCGCCGGAAGACCAAGGGUUCCUGUCCAACGUUAAUCGGGGCAGGGUGAGUCGACCCCUAAGGCGAGGCCGAAAGGCGUAGUCGAUGGGAAACGGGUUAAUAUUCCCGUACUUGGUGUUACUGCGAAGGGGGGACGGAGAAGGCUAUGUUGGCCGGGCGACGGUUGUCCCGGUUUAAGCGUGUAGGUGUGUGUUCCAGGUAAAUCCGGUUCACUUUAACACUGAGGCGUGACGACGAGGCACUACGGUGCUGAAGCAACAAAUGCCCUGCUUCCAGGAAAAGCCUCUAAGCAUCAGGUAACAUCAAAUCGUACCCCAAACCGACACAGGUGGUCAGGUAGAGAAUACCAAGGCGCUUGAGAGAACUCGGGUGAAGGAACUAGGCAAAAUGGUGCCGUAACUUCGGGAGAAGGCACGCUGACACGUAGGUGAAGUGAUUUACUCAUGGAGCUGAA